rnacentral:tRNA from 4 species
GGAGCGGUGGAUGAGCGGUUUAAGUCACACGCCUGGAAAGCGUGCGGGGAGUUAAAUCCCCCGGGGGUUCGAAUCCCCCCUGCUCCGCCA